rnacentral:misc_RNA from 1 species
GGUUCCAAGAGCAGCGAAAACGUUAUUGUUGCUUAUGACCAACUGUUCAUCCUUCCUGCUUCCACCUCCCACCAUUGUGUGAACGAGAAACACAAAUCAAAUCCCAGUUAAAACCCAACAAUCAAGAUUUUCUAGAAGAGAUAGAGUAAACAAUUGACAAAAAGGAAAUCGAUCAGAUUUAACGGCAAUCUCUGAGAAUGGUUUUCCGAUGGUGGAUCGUAGCAGAUUUGGAACACAAUUUUAUACCGAUGGCUUCCUCCCGUCUUUAUCAAUUUAGGGUUUCGAUGAGCCAGACAAGAGAGGGACGAAUUCUAC